AAUUUCACACCUGGAUGUGCUCACUCAACCAAGAAUAUAGAGAAAGAGCUUCUGUCCUGAGACUCAGAAAAAUAUUCUCCUCUGCUUCGGUGCAGAAUAGAUUUCUAGACUCUGAUCAUUACUCAAGAAGUAUUCACUGGGG
rnacentral:lncRNA from 1 species